UUGCUUGGGCAGCACAUAUACGAACAUUGGAAUGGUACAGAGAAAAUUAACANGGUCCCUGCGCAAGAAUGACACAUAAAAUUCAGAAAGGGUUAAAAAAAAAU
rnacentral:snRNA from 1 species